rnacentral:rRNA from 1 species
UACGUAGGGGGCAAGCGUUGUCCGGAAUCAUUGGGCGUAAAGAGCGCGUAGGCGGCCCUGUAAGUCCGCUGUGAAAGUCAAGGGCUCAACCCUUGAAUGCCGGUGGAUACUGCAGGGCUAGAGUCCGGAAGAGGCGAGUGGAAUUCCUGGUGUAGCGGUGAAAUGCGCAGAUAUCAGGAGGAACACCGGUGGCGAAGGCGGGUCUCUGGGCCGGAACUGACGCUAAGGAGCGAAAGCGUGGGGAGCGAACAGG